rnacentral:rRNA from 1 species
ACGAACGCUGGCGGCGUGCUUCACACAUGCAAGUCGAACGAAGAGCGACGGAAGCUUGCUUCUAUCAAUCUUCGUGGCGAACGGGUGAGUAACGCGUAAUCAACCUGCCCUUCAGAGGGGGACAACAGUUGGAAACGACUGCUAAUACCGCAUACGAUCUAAUCUCGGCAUCGAGGAUGGAUGAAAGGUGGCCUCUACAUGUAAGCUAUCACUGAAGGAGGGGAUUGCGUCUGAUUAGCUAGUUGGAGGGGUAACGGCCCACCAAGGCGAUGAUCAGUAGCCGGUCUGAGAGGAUGAACGGCCACAUUGGGACUGAGACACGGCCCAGACUCCUACGGGAGGCAGCAGUGGGGAAUCUUCCGCAAUGGACGAAAGUCUGACGGAGCAACGCCGCGUGAGUGAUGACGGCCUUCGGGUUGUAAAGCUCUGUUAAUCGGGACGAAAGGCCUUCUUGCGAAUAGUGAGAAGGAUUGACGGUACCGGAAUAGAAAGCCACGGCUAACUACGUG